CAUAUCAAUCAUUCUUUAAACUGCUGGAAAAAAGUACAUAUAAAUCCCCUUCCUAUGUGAAGAUGAAUGAUUAGGAAUAAAUAAUGGUAAGCAGUGUCUUCUGGAAUUUAGUAUAGAAGUAAAUGUGAAUGUGUACAUACAGACUUUCUGGAAAGCUGUUGAGGGAAAGCCAAUUGGCUCAGAGUUUCUGUGGCAAAUCAGGAUUAUGUAUAAAAUCAGGAAGUGUGAGC
rnacentral:lncRNA from 1 species